UACGUAGGGUGCUAGCGUUGUCCGGAGUUACUGGGCGUAAAGCGCACGCAGGCGGUCUGCUAAGUUUGGAGUGACAGUUGGUGGCUUAACUGCCAAAGUGCUUCGAAAACUGACAGACUUGAGGGCUUCAGAGGGACACGGAAUUCCGGGUGGAGUGGUGAAAUGCGUAGAGAUCCGGAAGAACACCAGUGGCGAAGGCGGCCCGCUGGGCAGAGACUGACGCUGAGGCGCGACAGCGUGGGGAGCAAACAGG
rnacentral:rRNA from 1 species